UGUGUAUGAGGGUCUGUAUGACUGUGUGUGUGUGUUUGCAUAAGAGAGUGUGCAUUUGUCAGUGUGUGAGAGUGCAUAGCGUGGUAAAGUCACCUGUAGAGUGACAUGAACUCAAAACCACGCUUGAGGCCUUCCUCAUGGGUGGGUAUCAGCCUUGGCUAUCAGUUUCUGAUCGGAAACUCUACGUUGUUGCAUACCCUGAAGUCUACCUUGGAGGACGGUUGGCUGAAGAUCCAAAGCUGAAUGUCCUUGACCACUGAAAAGAUCCCCCCUGGGCACAUCCCUGUCUGGUGAUUGGAUGAAUGGACACUAUGCAACAAUGUCAUAACAGCUGCAUAGUUUCCCAAUAUACUCUGCCUCAGGUGAAUAGGUGUUAAGACAAUCAAGGUAAAUGGCUUGUAUAUCUGUCUGGCCUGAUCCAAUGUGUCGGUGAAUUCAUGGUGUUGCCAUGAGUCUACUGGCUCUUGGCCUUCUAGGUGAUAGCGGUGACAGGUGUGGGGGUGCUAUUUCAGACACUUUGGUGUUUACUUCUGAUUUAUAAGCAAAUAUUUUCACCAAAAAGCACUUUUUCUUUUUAGGCAGUAACUUUUUGGAAAUUAAGUUUAUAACUCUGCAUGCUUUAAAUUCGGUAACCUUUCAAAAAAGAGACAACAUUAAGACAUUUGCCUACAAAGAUACUGAUUAACUAUCGAGGCCAGGAAGGCAAAUUGCUGGAUCAGAAAACGAAUAUUUUGAUCUCCACCAAAACACUCAGCCUGAAGUUCGGAACAAAUACUUAUCUUUACUGAUAAUAUAUAUUAAAAUCAAGGAAGCCUUGGCAAAUGAUUAACAAGUUAAAACAAAAAAAACUGAAUAAUCUGCGCAAACGCAUCAGCUUCUGACGAAAGUUCAUGACCUAAGCGGGGAACUUUACUUCUGUCUCCGCAGGUACAGCCGGAUUUGUUUCAACUGAGAUGUUACAGUGUGUGCAGGAAGUCUGCGAAUUCCUGAGAAAGAGGGAAACAAGUUCUUGAGGAGUUUAGAGAACGGGCAAGGGCAGCUCUCCCCGGGAACUUUCACGUUGUCAGCAGCACUCCGUGAGGGCUGGACCUUCCCUGGAGCACUCAGUGCAAAGAAACUGCUUCAAAU